GUGUGCACUUUUCAUCUGUGGAGGAUGCCUUGCAAGCACAGCUGCAUGCAAUUACAAUGCUUUACAGGAUGCAGGCUUAAAAGAGGCAAAAUAUAAGGCUCGCGAUGGUAGAUACCAGUGAAAACUGGAUUGUUGGAGUAGUUCAUACUGUGGCGCCAGGAGAUGUGAAUCAGAGCCGUGUUAUUAGAAACCAGAACAAGUAACUAAACAGUGCUGCGCUCUUCUCGACACUCCACAGGCGAGCUUGUUUCCAAAUCUCCUGACCUUCCUGACUCAUGCCUUUGCGGUGAAGAGAGGUUGACAUGAGAUUUCCAAAAAAUGCACAGGAGCAGCAUCUCUCACCCUUGCUGUCCAUGGGUGAUGAUCCCAAGCAAGUCGUGUGCUGCGGCACCAACAUCCCUUGUCCUCGUGGACACAGAUGCUGACACUGCAGAUCCCACGGGCGUCUUCCACCCCAGCUCUCCCAGAAACUCUUAUCCUUGGACUUGGAUAUGAAGGGAACCAGGUCCUUCCCUAAUUCCACACCACUCCUGAGCUCCCUUCCCACGGUCUCCUCGUCAGCCGAGGACAGGCCCAAUGCUCAGCCUGAAGAGCCUGCAGGGGCUGGAGACCUUCUCGCCUCGCCAGCUAGAGAAGUUGGGUGAAAAUAUCCAGAGUUUAAGACAGAGAAUGAAACAACUGCCAAGGACUUCUAGCUUCUACCAGAGCAAAAAGGUUCAUUCCCAGGCCUAAAGCCCUAUCUUGCACACACUAUAUGCUAAAUCUUUGCAGUAAAAAACACUAGUAUCCAUGUAGGGCAAAUGUUGUUCUUCACAUAAUCAUUCAUUAACCUUUCUAGAAGUUCCUCAUUUGCAUGCAACCUGCCCAAGUUAUAAGUAAAGGGACAUUAUACAUACAUACAUACAUGUAUAUAUAUGCAAUACAAUGUUCUAAAGGGUCUCAAAUGUAAAGUCUCAUCUAUGAUUUUUUUUUCCAAGUGUGCAUUUCAGAGCAGCAUUAGAACAACAUAGAUAUUUAAAAAAAAUUUUA